rnacentral:tRNA from 1 species
GGCUGGAUGGCAGAGUGGUUAUGCAGCGGACUGCAACUCCGCGAACGUCGGUUCGAUUCCGGCUCCAGCCU